UACGGAGGGUGCGAGCGUUGUUCGGAAUUACUGGGCGUAAAGCGCGUGUAGGCGGCUCGUUUAGUCCGAUGUGAAAUCCCUGGGCUUAACCCAGGAAGUGCAUUGGAUACUGGCGGGCUUGAGUACGGGAGAGGAGAGUGGAAUUCCUAGUGUAGAGGUGAAAUUCGUAGAUACUAGGAGGAACACCAGUGGCGAAGGCGGCUCUCUGGCCCGAUACUGACGCUGAGACGCGAAAGCGUGGGGAGCAAACAGG
rnacentral:rRNA from 1 species